rnacentral:rRNA from 1 species
GAUGAACGCUGGCGGCGUGCCUAAUACAUGCAAGUCGAACGAGUGGCGGACGGGUGAGUAAUGUCUGGGAAACUGCCUGAUGGAGGGGGAUAACUACUGGAAAAGGUAGCUAAUACCGCAUACCAUCCGAUUAGCCCAGAUGGGAGUAGCUAGUAGGCGGGGUAACGGCUCACCUAGGCGACGAUCCCUAGCUGGUCUGAGAGGAUGACAAGCCACACUGGAACUGAGACACGGUCCAGACUCCUACGGGAGGCAGCAGUGGGGAAUAUUGCACAAUGGGCGCAAGCCUGAUGCAGCCAUGCCGCGUGUAUGAAGAAGGCCUUCGGGUUGUAAAGUACUUUCAGCGGGGAGGCGUUACCCGCAGAAGAAGCACCGGCUAACUCCGUGCCAGCAGCCGCGGUAAUAC